rnacentral:rRNA from 1 species
AACGCGAAGAACCUUACCUGGGCUCGAACGGCUUAAGAUCGACGGUGGAAACACUGUUUUCCCGCAAGGGACUUGAGUCGAGGUGCUGCAUGGCUGUCGUCAGCUCGUGUCGUGAGAUGUUGGGUUAAGUCCCGCAACGAGCGCAACCCUUGUCCUGUGUUGCCACUCCGUAAGGAAGCACUCGCAGGAGACCGCCAGCGAUAAGUUGGAGGAAGGUGGGGAUGAUGUCAAGUCAUCAUGGCCUUUAUGUCCAGGGCUACACACGUGCUACAAUGGACGGUACAAAGCGCUGCCAACCCGCGAGGGGGAGCUAAUCGCAAAAAACCGUUCUCAGUUCGGAUUGCAGGCUGCAACUCGCCUGCAUGAAGCUGGAAUCGCUAGUAAUGCCGUAUCAGAACGAUGGCGUGAAUACGUUCCCGGGCCUUGUA